rnacentral:rRNA from 1 species
UACAGAGGUCUCAAGCGUUGUUCGGAUUCAUUGGGCGUAAAGGGUGCGUAGGUGGCGUGGUAAGUCGGGUGUGAAAUUUCGGAGCUUAACUCCGAAACUGCAUUCGAUACUGCCGUGCUUGAGGACUGGAGAGGAGACUGGAAUUACGGUGUAGCAGUGAAAUGCGUAGAGAUCGUAAGGAAGACCAGUGGCGAAGGCGGGUCUCUGGACAGUUCCUGACACUGAGGCACGAAGGCCAGGGGAGCAAACGGG